rnacentral:lncRNA from 1 species
UGAUAAGUAAUGAAAUAUUUGCAACUUUUAUGUUGGUCAAGUUUAUAAAUCCUGACUUUUGAGUCACAAAGGGAUAGCUGAUGUUUAAAGCAAUAUGUGCUAUGGUAUGUUAAGUUCUAUUAAUGUGAGGUGCUAUGGUUGGAAGUACCAUGAGUGUCACAAGUUGGAUUAAUGAAGUAAGUUGUUAUAAAGAUAGCAGAUAUUUAUCUGAAUAUUAGUUAAUAUAGUAAACCAAGUUUCAAAAAUUUAAUAUUUUGGAAUACAUGAUUAUUUGAGUAGAAAAUUUUGUGUUAUAUGUCGAACGUAUACGAUGAGGCUUAGAAUGUAAGGAAAUGAAGAAUAAUUUACGAUUAUGUCACCGAGACGAAAACAAAAACCAGCCGUGGAAGAUCAACCAGAUAAUCGAACGACGAACGAC